UUCAUUAUUUAGCCGAAUACAUCUCAUCCAAUUUCAAGGCUAAAUAAAUACAUAUACGCAUAUUCACAUGUUCAUGUUACUUCAUACUUCAACCAAUAUACUUACAUACUCAGAGCCAAUCUUAACAUAUUUUCACUUGAAUCAAAAUUCAUAUAUCCUGAAUAAGUUAUAUAUAUACUUCAUACAACCAUAUGCAAUGGCCGAAAGAACACUAUCCAAAUGAAUAAUCACAAUUUAAACCGAAUCAAUUUUU
rnacentral:lncRNA from 1 species